GGGAAACGACCAGAAGUGUCUGCAGAUCUCUCAGCCCCAUGCCCAGACUCCAGGAACUGCACAGCCAGGGAGAAGAUUCGUGCCGUGGGAGGGCAGCACAGGUGCUCAGGCAGAGUGGAGGUCUGGCUGCACGGCUCCUGGGGCACGGUGUGCGACGACUCCUGGGACAGGCAGGAUGCCCAGGUGGCAUGCAGGCAGCUGGGCUGUGGGCCUGUGCUGUCUGCCCCGGGGGAGGCUGCCUUUGGGGAGGGGACAGGCCCCAUCUGGCUGGAGCAGGUGGAGUGCCAGGGCACAGAGCCAUCUCUGCAGGAGUGCUGGGCCCGGCCUGGGGACAGCGGUGUCUGCCGGCACAAGGAGGAUGCUGCUGUGAGCUGCUCAGGUGCCCCUGGGGGCCGUCGGACCAGCAGCAGCAGUGUCUCAGUGCCUGUCAUCAUCUGCAUCGUCCUGGGAGCCCUUCUCUGCCUGCUCCUGGCCCUCCUGGCUGGACAAGUGCAAAGUGCCAGGGCUGGGCGCAGAGCUGCCCAGGCCCCUUGGGAGCCCUUCCCUGAGGCUGUGUAUGAGGAGAUUGGCUACAGCACAGCGUGGGAGAAGCAGAAGAGG